CCUACGGGUGGCAGCAGUGGGGAAUAUUGGACAAUGGGCGAAAGCCUGAUCCAGUCAUGCCGCGUGUGUGAAGAAGGCCUUCGGGUUGUAAAGCACUUUCAGUGGGGAAGAAAGCCUUGGGGCUAAUACCCUCGAGGAAGGACAUCACCCACAGAAGAAGCACCGGCUAACUCCGUGCCAGCAGCCGCGGUAAUACGGAGGGUGCGAGCGUUAAUCGGAAUUACUGGGCGUAAAGCGCGCGUAGGCGGUCUGAUAAGCCGGUUGUGAAAGCCCCGGGCUCAACCUGGGAACGGCAUCCGGAACUGUCAGGCUAGAGUGCAGGAGAGGAAGGUAGAAUUCCCGGUGUAGCGGUGAAAUGCGUAGAGAUCGGGAGGAAUACCAGUGGCGAAGGCGGCCUUCUGGACUGACACUGACGCUGAGGUGCGAAAGCGUGGGUAGCAAACAGGAUUAGAUACCCUAGUAGUC
rnacentral:rRNA from 1 species